rnacentral:piRNA from 1 species
CCAAAAAAUACUUUAAAAGACCUCAGA